rfam:Ovis aries breed Texel chromosome 15, whole genome shotgun sequence.
UCCCUGGUGGCUCAGAGGUUAAAGUGGCUGCCUCCAAUGCAGGAGACCCAGGUUCGAUCCCUGGGUCGGGAA